CUAGCUCCUUUCACUUUGCCAAUUGGACGUAAAUUUUUAUUGGUCAUUCAAGUGACAAAGAAAAUAUCUUUUUAAAACUUGAGCAAACAAUGUUUUGUCUUGUAACCUGUCAGAGGAAGAAGAU
ensembl:snoRNA